rnacentral:rRNA from 1 species
UACGGAGGGUGCGAGCGUUGUCCGGAAUCACUGGGCGUAAAGGGCGCGUAGGCGGCGCGGGGAGUCAACGGUGAAAGCUCGGCGCUCAACGCCGAGUCGGCCGUCGAUACUCCCGUGCUUGAGCACUGUAGAGGCAGGUGGAAUUCCGGGUGUAGCGGUGGAAUGCGUAGAGAUCCGGAAGAACACCGGUGGCGAAGGCGGCCUGCUGGGCAGUAGCUGACGCUGAGGCGCGACAGCGUGGGGAGCAAACCGG